CUUGAAGCACGAAGGCUCACGUAUCAGUCAGGACGAAUUCGAUGAGCUGGUCGAACGAGGCGCCGUAGGCGACCUGGCUAUGCGGUUCUUCGAUGCCGAGGGGCGCCCCGUCAGGUCGUCGCUCGACGAUCGGAUGAUCGGCAUUACGCUGGAGCAGCUUGGACGUGCGAACCGUGUCGUUGGCGUCGCCGGAGGAAUGCAGAAGCGGGACGUCAUUCUCGGUGCGCUGCUGGGCGGACUCGUCGACGUUCUGAUCACGGAUUAUCGAACGGCCGAAGCGCUGCUUGAGGAAGAGCCGGCGCCCGUGACCGACUGAUGGCGGUUACCAGAUAUUCCGAAACGUUGUAACCAAAUAGUCCUUCA
rnacentral:misc_RNA from 1 species